GGCCAGUUAGCUCAGCCAGUUGAGCGUGGUGCUAACAACGUCAAGGUCGCGAGUUCAAUUCCCGUUUGGUCC
rnacentral:tRNA from 1 species